GAAUUAUAUGUUGACAGAGGAU
rnacentral:siRNA from 1 species